rfam:Rhizobium oryziradicis strain N19 scaffold3, whole genome shotgun sequence.
CCAGUCGGCCGGGCAGCCGCGCUUUACCAAUGUCGAAAGACGGUAGGGUGAGGAAAGUCCGGGCUCCACGGAAACACGGUGCCGGAUAACGUCCGGCGAGGGCGACCUCAGGGAAAGUGCCACAGAAAGCAGACCGCCUCGCUUGUCGAGGUCAGGGUGAAAGGGUGGGGUAAGAGCCCACCGCGUCGCUGGUGACAGGGACGGCAUGGUAAACCCCACCGGGAGCAAGACCGAAUAGGGAUGACGCGGGGGCGGCGCAAGCCGCACUACAGCCGGUUUUCGGGCCAGUCAUCCGGGUGGGUUGCGAGAGGCGGCGCGCAAGCGUCGUCCCAGAUGAAUGGCUGCCACGUUCCGGGAAACCGGGGCCAUACAGAACCCGGCUUACAGGCCGACUGGUGUU